AUCCCAGUUCGGAUUGCAGGCUGCAACCCGCCUGUAUGAAGUUGGAAUCGCUAGUAAUCGCGGAUCAGCAUGCCGCGGUGAAUACGUUCCCGGGCCUUGUACACACCGCCCGUCACACCAUGAGAGUCGGGAACACCCGAAGUCCGUAGCCUAACCGCAAGGGGGCGCGGCCGAAGGUGGGUUCGAUAAUUGGGGUGAAGUCGUAACAAGGUAUC
rnacentral:rRNA from 1 species